UACAGAGGUGGCAAGCGUUGUUCGGAAUUACUGGGCGUAAAGGGCGCGUAGGCGGCUUGGUCAGUCCCGUGUGAAAUCCCUCGGCUCAACUGAGGUACUGCACGGGAAACUGCCUGGCUUGAGUUCGGGAGAGGGAAGCGGAAUUCCGGGUGUAGCGGUGAAAUGCGUAGAUAUCCGGAGGAACACCGGUGGCGAAGGCGGCUUCCUGGACCGACACUGACGCUGAGGCGCGAAAGCUAGGGGAGCAAACGGG
rnacentral:rRNA from 1 species